rnacentral:rRNA from 1 species
UACGUAGGGGGCAAGCGUUGUCCGAAUUUAUUGGGCGUAAAGAGCGUGUAGGCGGCCUGAAAGGUCAGCUGUGAAAACUCGAGGCUCAACCUCGAGACGUCGGUUGAAACCAUCUGGCUAGAGUCCGGAAGAGGAGUGUGGAAUUCCCGGUGUAGCGGUGAAAUGCGCAGAUAUCGGGAAGAACACCCGUGGCGAAGGCGGCACUCUGGGACGGUACUGACGCUGAGACGCGAAAGCGUGGGGAGCGAACAGG